rnacentral:rRNA from 1 species
CGGGUGAGUAACACGUGAUCAACCUGCCCCUGACUCCGGGAUAACGCAAACCCGUCUAAACCGGAACACCCUCCGCUAGCCGGGGGGUGGAAAGUUUUUGGGUUGGGGAUGGGCUCGCGGCCUAUCAGCUUGUUGGUGGGGUAAAGGCCUACCAAGGCGAUUACGGGUAGCCGGCCUGAGAGGGCGACCGGCCACACUGGGACUGAGACACGGCCCAGACUCCUGCGGGAGGCAGCAGUGGGGAAUCUUGCGCAAUGGGCGAAAGCCUGACGCAGCGACGCCGCGUGGGGGAUGACGGCCUUCGGGUUGUAAACUCCUUUUACCACUCGCGCCGGCUUCCAGUUCUCUGGGGGUUAACGGUAGGUGGGGAAUAAGGACCGGCUAACU